UGCUGCAUAAGAUAACCUUUUUAUUAAUUUAUUUUCUUUUUUUGACUCACCACAUCAGAGUGGAAUGAGAAACUCCACUUAUUACAUAAUUUGUUGUUUCUUCUGAAAUUUUAAAACAUAAACUGGUAAAUGGUGUUACCAAUCAGUCGUUUUUGGCUGCUUCAUUCUGGAUCCUGACGACAUCCAGGUAUGAUUUUCCAACCAAUUCUCGUGAAAAGAAUCCCUUGAAGAAAUCAGCAACACCGAUUUUUCUAAAUGAGGCAGGCCUCUCUGGGGAUACAAGGCUCGGUGCUGGACCCAUUUCUCCACCCAAAUUCGGGCUAUAAAAAGUGGCAAUGGAGAUCCUCUCUUUCACCGAGUUCACUGUUGCUCUAUGCUCAGUGCUUUUGUAAAUUCCAUUGGUAACAAUCUCCAAAAUGUCACCAAUAUUGAUGAUAAAGGCAUCUGGCAGUGGCUUAACAGGAACCCAUCUCCCAUCUUUCUUUAUUUGCAAACCUUCUACCUCGUUGACUUGAAGGAGGAUUGUGAGGCCUGUUGCAUCAGUGUGGGAAUUGAGGCCCAUGACCAGCUCAGGUUGUGGGCAUGGAGGAUAGUAGUUCAUUCUCAUUUUCUGGCACCCUUCCUCAAAUAUUUUUCCCAUUUCUUCAGCUUCCAUUCCUAGAGCUUUUCCCAUGAGAUUGAAGAUUUUCAUGGCAAGAUUUUUCAUUUCUUCUGAGUAAGUUUCCAAGGUGUCCCUGAAUGGGAGAGGGAGCUUGGGGAAUAAGUAAGGCUUUCUCAGAUUAUGUGGCAGGGUGAUCAUGUAGAAGAUGUCUCCCCAGUCAAGCUUCUGCUCCUCUGACACAACGAAAGCCUGUCCAAAUCCUUCCAUAUCUCCUGGUUUUUGCCAAUACUUAUUCUUCUCUUCCAUUGGGAGAUCGAAGAAUUCUUGAAUUUCCACCUUCACUUUUUCCACUAAUGAACUGCUCACUCCAUGAUUUAUCAGCUGGAAGAAACCCCAGUUUUUGCAUGCGAGAUGGAGCUCAUCCAGCUCUGAAUCGAUGAAAUCUUGGGAAAAUAACUUUUGCAUGUCAAUCACAGGAACUUGGGGUAGAGAAGCAGCAUUAGACAUGAUUGGAGAGUCUUCAUCAGGACGCAAAUAACGCGGUGGAACUUUUGUCAGUGGCUUCUUUGCCAGCUCCUGCACACAAGGCACCGGGAGAGAGCUCCCAAGCUUUGUAUGUUCAGCUUCCAUGGCUUCUGUUUUCUAUUUUUCUCAUGUUAUACCCUUUCAGAAUUUCCGCCAGCGAGGAAUAUAUGUGCUUGAG
rnacentral:misc_RNA from 1 species